CAGUCGCCGCGGGAAUACGAAGGGUGCAAGCGUUACUCGGAAUUACUGGGCGUAAAGCGUGCGUAGGUGGUGGUUUAAGUCCGUUGUGAAAGCCUUGGGCUCAACCUGGGAAUUGCAGUGGAUACUGGGUCACUAGAGUGUGGUAGAGGAUAGUGGAAUUUCCGGUGUAGCAGUGAAAUGCGUAGAGAUCGGAAGGAACAUCUGUGGCGAAGGCGACUAUCUGGGCCAACACUGACACUGAGGCACGAAAGCGUGGGGAGCAAACAGGAUUAGAUACCCCAGUAGUCCCUGUCUCUUAUAA
rnacentral:rRNA from 1 species